CCUACGGGCGGCAGCAGUGAGGAAUAUUGGUCAAUGGACGCAAGUCUGAACCAGCCAAGUAGCGUGCAGGAUGACGGCCCUCCGGGUUGUAAACUUCUUUUAGUUGGGAAUAAAAGGGGGCUCGUAAGCUCCGUAUCGUGUGUACCAUGAGAAAAAGUCCCGGCUAAUUCCGUGCCAGCACCCGCGGUAAUAGGGAAGGUCCGGGCGUUAUCCGGAUUUUUGGGGUUUAAAGGGAGCGUAGGCCGGCUUUUAAGUCAGCUGUGAAAGUCCGCGGCUCAACCGUGGAAUUGCAGUUGAAACUGGAGGCCUUGAGUGCACUCAGGGAUGCCGGAAUUCAUGGUGUAGCGGUGAAAUGCUUAGAUAUCAUGAAGAACUCCGAUCGCGAAGGCAAGUGUCCGGGGUGCAACUGACGCUGAGGCUCGAAAGUGCGGGUAUCAAACAGGAUUAGAUACCCGAGUAGUC
rnacentral:rRNA from 1 species